GAAAAGUCACAUGGGGACAUGCCCUCUCCCCACUCUGUCCCUUGUUCCUUCCUCCUGACAGUCAGGAGGGAAAGGGGACAGGAUGGCAAGACAGGCACUAUGUCCUUAGCUCUCCAAAAAUCUGAUCAUAAACAGAGAUUGCUCUGAACAGCAACACUGGACUUACUCAGCCUUGGUCCUAUUUGAAACCUGCAGCAGGACCUAGCACUGCAGAUGGUCAACAUUCUGUGAUGAAUGAAAAAGAAGAAAAGCCAACAUCAACAGUGACCACAAUCAAGAUGAACAUAAGAUGAUAAUAAUUCAUUCGUUUCAUUAGAAAAAAUCAUCCAGUUAUUUUCUCCAUGUAAACCAAGCCCCCCACACAUGAUUUCU